rnacentral:rRNA from 1 species
AUACGGAGGAUCCGAGCGUUAUCCGGAUUUAUUGGGUUUAAAGGGUGCGCAGGCGGCCAUUUAAGUCAGCGGUUAAAUCGUGGGGCUCAACCCCAUUCUGCCGUUGAUACUGGGUGGCUUGAUUGCGGUCGAGGUUGGCGGAAUUCGGUGUGUAGCGGGGAAAUGCAUAGAUAUUGCCCAGAACACCGAUUGCGAAGGCAUCUCACGAAUCCGACACUGACGCUGAGGCACGAAAGCGUGGGGAUCAAACAGGAUUAGAUACCCUGGUAGUCCACGCAGUAAACGAUGAUGACUAACCGUCGGCGAUAGACAGUCGGUGGCCAAGCGAAAGCGAUAAGUCAUCCACCUGGGGAGUACGUUCGCAAGAAUGAAACUCAAAUGAAUUGACGGGG